GCAAAUGCCAUAGGAUGGAAGAAGAAGAGGAGGACGAAAAACGACCAUGAAGAAGAAACUGAAGCCUGGGGAUGCUAUAGUAUGUUGCCUUUAAUGUAGCUUGGCUAUAAAAUACCGCUGUUUGUCGUCCUGGUUUGCUUCGAAACCUGACCUGGGUCCCGAGGAAAAUGAUCACCUUGGAGAAGACCUUCAGCCUAUUCAACAUGGAGGAGCCUUGAUCCUUAAAGUCACAGACCAUGCGGCAGAGAACUGAUUCAUGCUGCUGAGGAUCAGUGUGUGAAGAUGGGAUUGUUGAUCCUUACAGAGCUGAAAGGACAAACAUGGAGAGCAUGUGUCAGGAUAUAUCUUAAUGGAGAAGUGAAGUAAAGCACACUCAGUCACGCAGCUGACUGACCUCCAGUCUAUGAAAAAUGGCCUGAGGAUGAGCAACCAGAGUCAGCUUCUGAAGCAGGGCUGUGGGAAAACUUUACUUACUCCUUUCAUAUGCUCCAUAAUGUGAAGCACAUCUUGUAUCAGAAAGUAGCACUGUCUGCCCUUGAAUCUGUUACAUUCAGGAUGCUGCGGAUGUGAAUGUACCACACUCAUUUAUAAUAAACCUUUAACUGUG